GGGGGUGAAAUAGGAUCGACGGGUGACUAAAGGCUAUUCUUUCGUUCGGGAUUGUUCCACCGUAACGGGCUAAACUUUAAAUGCUGACGAA
rnacentral:tmRNA from 1 species